GGAAGUGGAAACGAACUGUCGCGGGGCGCACCCGGCCUGGCUCACCGCCUGGCAGUCCCCGCUGUCGCCGCCGCCCUCGGCCAGUGCCGAGGCUUUCCGCAGCCACCAUGUCCGCCAGUGCCGUCUACGUGCUGGACCUGAAGGGCAAGGUGCUCAUCUGCCGGAACUACCGCGGUGAUGUGGACAUGUCGGAGGUGGAGCACUUCAUGCCCAUCCUGAUGGAGAAAGAGGAGGAGGGGAUGCUGUCACCUAUCCUGGCCCAUGGGGGAGUCCGCUUCAUGUGGAUCAAGCACAACAACCUGUAUCUGGUCGCCACCUCUAAGAAGAACGCGUGCGUGUCACUGGUGUUCUCCUUCCUCUACAAGGUGGUGCAGGUAUUUUCGGAAUAUUUCAAGGAGCUGGAAGAGGAGAGUAUCCGCGACAACUUCGUCAUCAUCUACGAGCUGCUGGAUGAGCUCAUGGACUUCGGCUACCCCCAGACCACAGACAGCAAGAUCCUGCAGGAGUACAUAACUCAGGAAGGCCACAAGUUGGAAACAGGGGCCCCACGGCCCCCAGCCACCGUCACCAACGCAGUGUCCUGGCGCUCUGAGGGCAUCAAGUACCGGAAGAACGAGGUGUUCUUGGACGUCAUUGAGUCCGUCAAUCUCCUGGUCAGUGCCAACGGUAACGUCCUACGCAGUGAGAUUGUGGGCUCCAUCAAGAUGCGGGUCUUCCUGUCGGGCAUGCCUGAGCUGCGCCUGGGCCUCAACGACAAGGUUCUCUUCGACAACACGGGCCGUGGCAAAAGCAAGUCCGUGGAGCUGGAGGACGUGAAGUUCCACCAGUGUGUGCGGCUCUCUCGCUUUGAGAACGACCGCACCAUCUCCUUCAUCCCACCCGAUGGCGAGUUUGAGCUCAUGUCCUACCGCCUCAACACCCAUGUCAAGCCCUUGAUCUGGAUCGAGUCUGUGAUUGAAAAGCAUUCCCACAGCCGCAUCGAGUACAUGAUCAAGGCCAAGAGCCAGUUCAAGCGGCGGUCAACAGCCAACAACGUGGAGAUCCACAUCCCUGUGCCCAACGAUGCCGACUCACCCAAGUUCAAGACGACAGUGGGGAGCGUCAAGUGGGUCCCCGAGAACAGUGAGAUCGUGUGGUCCAUCAAGUCCUUCCCGAGCUCAUCAUCCCUCCUGGGGAACAGACUGCCUUGGGGCCAGAGCCUCACGGGAAUCCAGCACCAGCUCCAGGAAGGGCGGCAAGGAGUACCUGAUGCGGGCCCACUUCGGCCUGCCCAGCGUGGAGGCGGAGGACAAGGAGGGCAAGCCCCCGAUCAGUGUCAAGUUUGAGAUCCCCUACUUCACUACCUCCGGCAUCCAGGUGCGCUACCUGAAGAUCAUCGAGAAGAGCGGCUACCAGGCCCUACCGUGGGUUCGUUACAUCACUCAGAACGGAGAUUACCAGCUCCGGACCCAGUGAGGGGCCACGGUGGCCAACGCUCCCGGCCCAGCACUGGGCCUCCUGGUGGAAGCACCAGGAGGAAGCACCUGCCAAGCCUGCCGGAAGGAAGGGCUCCCCUGGACACCAGCCACCCUCCCGGCUCCACCCAGGGGCCCCUCCUCCUCCAGGCGCACCUGCUGUGCCGUCGCCACUCUCAUCCCCCAAGUCCCUUUUCCCAGAAGAGGCUUAUCUUCAAGAAGUCUCGUCUCUUUGCCCCCGAGUCAGUUUGAAGGGAAGGAAAGAAAUCUUUCCCUCCAGAGAUCAAAUACAGCCUUCUGUGCUGUUUAGCUCCUAGUCACGAAAAGAUUGGGAAACGCUCGCCAGACCACUGUCUGGCCGGGCUGGCAGGGCCACCGUUUUGUUGCCAUUCUAUUGAACGUUGUAGGUUUAUUGAGUGUUCCUGGAUUUUUGUCUUGGUCCGUUGCUGUUUACGUGAACUUCACUGUCCACGCCUCCUGCCCCUCAUCCUGAAGCGCUCAGGCAGCACUUAGCGAGGACAGGACCUCCCCGUUCCUCGCCCUCCUCCCCAGCGAGGCUGACGCUGGGUCGCCUUCCCACAUCGGGCCAGAACCUGGCACUUUGAUCGGAGGCUGCAGCUGAUGGCUGUUCCUUGGAGGCUCCUUGGCCUGGACGCAUAGGCUUCAACAGAGGCGCCUUCUGAGGGCCAGCCUGUGCCACACGAUGCUGUCACUCAGCCACAUCAGUGUUUGUCCCCCCAGGGGAGGUGGGGUCCAGGAAGGGCCCCUGGCCUCAGAGGGUGGGGCGCACGGGUCAUCCACAUCCGUGCUUGGACACCACCCCCUUCAACCCUGUCUGUGUUUGUGUCAUGAGUACAUUAAAUUCCAUCAGUUACACAUGC